GCGGGAUAGGCAUGCAAGAUCGAGCGAGAAGGAAAUCAAAGUUUACUUUGGUUUCCGGAAAGCGGCGAAAGGGAGAGUAACGCGUUAGUUAUCUACCCCAAGGCCCGGAAUAGCUGCGGGAAACUGCAGGUAAUGCCGGAUAAUAUCCCCGGAUCAAAGGUGUGAAUCCGCCUUGGGAGGAGACUGCGUUGUACUAGCUUGUUGGUAGGGUAAUGGCCUACCAAGGCUACGAUGCAUAGCGGGCGUGAGAGCGUGGCCCGUCUCACUGGGACUGAAACACUGCCCAGACACCUACGGGUGGCUGCAGUCGAGAAUCUUCGGCAAUGGGCGAAAGCCUGACCGAGCGAUGCCGCGUGCGGGAUGAAGGCCUUCGGGUUGUAAACCGCUGUCGUAGGGGAGAAUGGGCCGUCGAAGAGACGGUUUAGAUCAAUCCUAAAGAGGAAGUCCGG
rnacentral:rRNA from 1 species